rnacentral:rRNA from 1 species
CCCUUAGAUGUUCUGGGCCGCACGCGCGCUACACUGAUGCAUUCAACAAGCCUAGCCUUGACCGAGAGGUCCGGGUAAUCUUUGAAACUGCAUCGUGAUGGGGCUAGAUUAUUGCGAUUAUUAAUCUUCAACGAGGAAUGCCUAGUAAGCGUGAUUCAUCAAAUCGCGUUGAUUACGUCCCUGCCCUUUGUACACACCGCCCGUCGCUCCUACCGAUUGAAUGUGUUGGUGAGGAGCUCGGAUUGGCAGCAGUUGGUGGUUCGCCACCGGCUAUUGCUGAGAAGUCCUCCAAACCGCCCCAUUUAGAGGAAGGAGAAGUCGUAACA